UACGGAGGGUGCAAGCGUUAUCCGGAUUCACUGGGUUUAAAGGGUGCGUAGGAGGGCAGGUAAGUCAGUGGUGAAAUCUCCGAGCUUGACUUGGAACUGCCGUUGAUACUAUCUGUCUUGAAUAUUGUGGAGGUGAGCGGAAUAUGUCAUGUAGCGGUGAAAUGCUUAGAUAUGACAUAGAACACCAAUUGCGAAGGCAGCUCGUUACGCGAAUAUUGACACUGAUGCACGAAAGCGUGGGGAUCAAACAGG
rnacentral:rRNA from 1 species